rnacentral:lncRNA from 1 species
AUGGGAGCGGCCUCUGGAACACCUUCCCCCGGGUGUAACGGGAGUCGGAGGCGGGGCGUCCGGAGAGGGGCCGCCUUCGCCCGCCGGCUGGGACCAAGCGGCGACUUGGGCGCGCCCAGCCCCGCGGCCGCCUCCACAGCGCGCAGCCCUCCCCUUCCUCCGCCCAGCGCCCGCCCCUCGGAGCCCCGGCGCCCCGGCGCCCCUCCCGCCGGCCUCGGCUCGGCUUUCCCCUUGCUUGGGGCUUCCUGCGAGCCCAAUAUAGCUCUGCCGAGCCACGUGGACCGCAGCGGGCUGGGUGGAGGCCGGACCGGCCUAAGAGACGCCGGAGGAGGAGGCGCGGGGACCGGAUCGCCGCCCCGAGAGAGGGGCUCUGCGGGAACAGCGCGCGAGGCUAGGGAAGAACUCCCCGGAGGCCUCAAGCUCGCGGGGUCAACCCCCGGGACAAGGCGAUGGGCGUGCGCCGAGAGGACGUGGCUGGCGGUGCCGAGAAGAUCCCUAGUCGGGUGUGCGGUGGAGAGAGGUGGCGAUCCCCCCUGCAGAGCCACCUCUUCCUCUAAGGGCGUGGGACUGGAGUCAAAACAGGCAAGAGGAAACAACUGGAUUUGAAGUCUGCCCCAAACCAUAAGGUCAUCUGUGACUUCAUUCUCGAGGAAAGUGUGAGGCUCCUCAAGAUGGAGAAUGCUCUGUCAUGGUUCAGAUGACAAUUGCAGCCAGCACCUGAGCCUGGGGGAACUGAGCCUGAGACUCAAGAGGGGUGAGCCCAUCCCUGCUGUUAUCAGUAUCCGGUAGCCCGAAGGCAAUCACCUACACAGCGUCUUACAAUGUAGACUUCGCUUCCUUCCUCAAAACUGGCAUCUCAGCUGCUUGAAGGGGCCAGAUGUCCUAAGGAAUUAACUACCCCAGCACCAUGUACUCGGAGAGCCUCUGAUAAUUGAUGACCGUUAUUAAUCUAAUUAUCUUUCUGAUGUACAUUGUGCUUGUCAACAUAUCUGUGAACGUUUUGUAGAUGAAGAAUGGAGAAGUACAGUAUGUGAGUUGCCAGGACAUGCCAGGUCUCUGCCAGGAUAUAUAUGUAUGUAUGUAUGUAUGUAUGUAUGUAUGUAUGUAUAUGUAUAUAAAGACCCCCGAGAGGGAAGAUCCUCACUCAAGUCUCGGGAUGAUGAGACCCCCCCCCCCAAGAACUCAAGAGAGACCGUCCUUGCUGCAAUCACACAAGGUUUAUUGACAGGAACCAGUGCGCUGGGGCCGAGACUCAUAUCCCACGCAGGGGUAGAGGAGUUUUGACCCUGAAUGGCUGGGAAUAGGGUUUUUUUAAAGGAAGAAUCCACAACCCAAAAUACCAAGAAUACCAGUGAAAGGUCCGGAGGGAAAUCACAACGGGAAACUCCCUGUUCCUUAAGAUCGUUUGUAAGAUUCUAAUCUAACUUUUUAUGGCUAGCAUUUUCCUGAAACAGAGUUGCUGAACCAGCUAGCCACCCUAUAUCCUAGGCCUUAUUUUGUCUGCUGGGGGGGAGGGGGUCGGGUCUUCUUUAUCCUGGCCUUUCAAAUAUAUAUAUUAUAUAUAUAUAUAUAUAUAUAUAUAUAUAUAAUGUCUAUGGCAGUGGCCUCAACACUGAUAUUUUCCCUUCUCCUCUUUUUGUUUUGUGGUUUUUACUUGUUUGUUUUGUGCCAACAAGAAAAGUAGCAUUUUUUUCCUCCAGUCAAAACCAAGUGUAAAUAUCUAAAUGUGUAAUAAAAGAUGUCAGUGCUUGAAAGGGACGUAGAUG